rnacentral:rRNA from 1 species
GACGAACGCUGGCGGCGUGCUUAACACAUGCAAGUCGAACGGAAAGGCCCAGCUUGCUGGGUACUCGAGUGGCGAACGGGUGAGUAACACGUGGGUGAUCUGCCCUGCACUCUGGGAUAAGCCUGGGAAACUGGGUCUAAUACCGGAUAUGACCAACUGUCCCUUGGUGGUUGGUGGAGAGCUUUUGCGUUGUGGGAUGGGCCCGGGGCCUAUCAGCUUGUGGGCGGGGUAAUGGCCUACCAAGGCGACGACGGGUAGCCGACCUGAGAGGGUGAUAGGCCACGCUGGGACUGAGAUACGGCCCGGCCUCGUCCGGGAGGCAGCAGUGGGGAAGAUUGCACAAUGGGCGGAAGCCUGAUGCAGCGACGCCGCGUGAGGGAUGACGGCCUUCGGGUUGUAAACCUCUUUCACCAGGGACGAAGCGUGAGUGACGGUACCUGGAGAAGAAGCACCGGCCAACUACGUG